UGCGCCAGAAGCAUACUGCGGCGGUCCCGGCGAGGCCGUGCUUUGACUGGCGUCCUCGCUGCGGCUGGAGGCGCCCCUGGUUCUCUUUCGCCUGUCCAGUUCUACCUUGGCCUGUGCAGCCACCCUAGAUCCGCGGACUUUGUGCCGCCGCUCCCUCUACCCUGUCUUGCGGCGGCCAGCGCUGAGAAUUCACGCUACGACACUCGGUUCAGCCAGGAGGUGACACCCAAGUGUGAUCAGAAGCCAUGCCACUGGUGAAGAGGUAUAUUGAGCCCCGCCUGGCCCAGUGAGGUUACCUGAGAAUUGGGAGAGGCUUAGAUCAACAUCCUGCACAUCCUGUUAUCAAAUCAUUGUGAAGUCUUGAAAAUCACCUGGGAUGCCUGUUAAAAAUGCAGAUUCCUGGGCAGCCAGAAACCUUGUCAUUGGUCAAGAGCAACACUAAGACCUACCUGUCACUUAUAUUGAGGCUUCCUGCCCAGUGGGUUCAUCAGCAAGCCAGAACGAAUCACCAUUGCCAUGGUUGUCCUUGUGAGGCAGUUGGGAAGCCUUGGCUGAAUUGGGAAGGAUGUCUUUCAGAAAGUGUUUGAGAGAGUCUGCCAGCUCUUCCACACGAGUGAACAUGUAGCAGAAGAGGGGGUCCUCUCGGUGAUUAAGAUGCUGCUUAGGGGUUUUGGCAGGGAGCUUUUCUUUUGUUUAUCUACUUUGGAUAGAGACCUUGGAAAAGAGAUUUCUCUACUCUUAAAAACAAGAGUGCAAAUUGGAUGUCACAGAAGCUGCAGUGAAUUCUUUCAUGGCCCUGAGUAUGCUUUGUUCCCAUGGAGAAGAACCUAACUGGAGACUGAUAGUGUGGACAUGUUUCUGGCAUCAAGGAUGAGGGAGACCUUUAGAAACAACUUGUCAAGUCCUCACCAUGAAUACCAUUGGAAUUGCAGUUGGAAUGGCACUGAAGGCAGAGAUUGAUUUUUGGAGAGCUAUCAUCUGUAUAAUCUUCUCAUACAUGAAUGUGUUUCUUCUCUCUGCUGCCUUUUGAGCUGCGGCACGGUGCUGGGAGAUGGGGAUGUGGAGACGAAUUUAGACACAGUCCCUGCCCUCAGGAGUUCUCAGUCUAGUGAGAGAGUUCGACAUGUACACAGAUAAUUACAACAGUAUGGUAUGCUCUACAGUGGAGGUAUGUACAAGAUACUCUGGGGUUCGGAAGAGAAAUCAUUUGAUUGAGUAUGGAGAUGCCAGAGGCUGGAGGAACUGAUGCUUAAGGGGAUUCUUAAAAGAAGUAAAGCUUGACCAGGAAGAAAACAGGGAAGGACCUUUUAAGCAAAGGCAUGGACAUUGGAAAUAGAAUGAUGAAAUGGGGGGACUACAAGUAGUUCCUGAGAUUGGGUUAGAAAUGUAGGCUGACGAUAGAUCCUUAUAUAGUAUUUCAUGAAAUGCGGAUUCCAUUUUGAGUGUUUCAGUAAGAGAUGCAUUUGAUGGUCACUCUAGCAGUACUAUAGAGCAUGUUCUGGAAGAUCUUCAAAUCCGGACAGGGAGAUUAGUUAGAAGGCGACUGUAGUAGGUAAGAUGAUAAAUGAUCUGAGGCCAGAAGGAGUGGGAGUGGAGAAGAGGACCUGACCUCUUAGAGGCUAUACAAACAUGGACCUAAUAGAGGGGCCAGUUAAGGCUCUCAGACCUGGGCAAAUGUGCAUUCACCUACCUCCAUCCCUGGCCUUGAUGAGAAAUCCCCUCAUGUUUUUUAGAUGGGCAUUGCUACUGAUCUCUUUUGGACCAGGGCUUGACUGGACCGUGUUUUGCAGGUUUCUCUUGGGGUGCAGCUGUAUAGGAAAUGGUGAUUCUCCAUCAUCUGAACAGCUGCAGACCUGUCAUAGGAUUACUUAGUUCCUGGUCCUUCUCAGCAGUAGCAGCCCUCCUUCAUGACCACAUGUCACUCAAAGUCAGAGUAGAGGCUCUCCUCUCUAAAACCCACUCAGGGAAGAGGUGGCUCUCGUUGUUACUGUCUCAGUCAUUCUAUUUUGCUUAGGGACUUUACAGUGUUUAUGGUUACACCUCCCAGUAAAACAUGUUCAGUAAUCAAAAAUCUGUAGAUGCAGUAUUCAUUUCCUCUUUGCUCAAAGCAAGAGGAACAUGUCCUUUGGAAAAUUCUCCACCUAGGGCUCAGAGUAGUGACCUUGGAGAUUCAGAGAAUGGAUUUCUGUGACUAGAACGAUUAAUAGGAGAUUGCAGUUAAGUAGACCUUAGGUAUUUUCAGUGGACCCUGUGUACGUAGCCAUCCUAGAGGGCAGUAAGGGGAAGAAGGGGUGGGAGAGGAAGCUCUGAGUAGGACAGCAAAGCCAGGACAGUAAGAGUUUGGGCCUUGAGACUAAAUAGCCUAGGCUCCGAUUUGCUCUUACAUUCGCCAGUGUGGUGUCAAGCAUGGUUUUUCACUUCUCUGGGGCUUUCCUUUCACUUAUGUAAAAUAGGGGUAAUAAUCUUUUUUUUGCAGUGGUUUGGUGGGGGGUAGUGAUCGCAAUGAUUUUUAAGGAUUUAAUGGGAUUGUUCGUGUAAAUGGCUUAGAACGAGUCGGAAGUAUGUUAAAUGCUGUAUCAACUAUAGUUGCUGCUGAUAAUGAUGUUGACUGUGACAAGGAUUAAAAGAAGAUAGUUAACUAGAGGUGCUUAUAUUUUACAUUGUCGAUGAGACUCUGAGGGUUCAAGGAAGAAAAGAAAACGAACCGACGUGAAGGUUUUCAAUGGUAUGCUAGUAUGAAGUCAAUUCUCUGCCAUCUUUUUCUUCUCUGCCAAAUGGGUUGGGAAACCAGAUGAAUUUUGUCCAUGCCCUGAUCACUAAUCUAUUGCCUUUGCUCUUAUUUCCAAAUAGAAACCUGUUGAAAAGUUGUGUUACACCUGAAUAAAGGUUAUCCUAAAAAUGUAGAAAAAUGCUUUGGAGUUGGUCAAAACCGGACUUGAAACCUGACUCAACUGUUUACUAGCUGUGUGAUCUAAGGCAUGUUACUUAACCUCAUUGAACCUCAGUUGCUUCAUCUAAUAUCAUAAUUAAUUUGCAGGGUUUCUAUGAGGACAUUUGUCAAGUGUAUGUCAUAAGCACUCUAUCAAUCAUAGCUAUCAUUGUUAGUUCUUGGGAUGCUCACCACGUGACAGAGACAACAGCAGGCCCUGGUGGCUGGGAGGACUGCAUGGAUCCAACCUCAACCUGGAGUUGUGCUCUUCUGAAGAAAUCCUACUCGGAUGGAUAUAAUACAACCUGCUAAGUGUCCUAGCACUUAUCAGGUUGUAUUAUCAUUGUCCGUGUCUAUGGCUCUCGUCUACCAGACUCUAAAUUCCUUACAGGCAAGGACAGUGCCUUAUUCAUCUUUGUAUUCGGUGCCUAAUCCCGUGCACAUUGUAGGCCUCAUUAAAUGUUUGUUGAAUGAAAAACUGAAUCAUCAACAGACAUUAAUUGGGCGCCUGCUCUGUGAUCUCCAUGGGCUCAGCUUUUCCCCGCCAGUUGCCUACAACGUCCAAGCUGUCUUCAGUAUGCUUUCUCCCGAAGCUUACUCCUAUCUUCUAAUCCUUUUGCUGAGGACUUUUCUGUGUAGCACAAGCAUAGCAGAUAUAUUUACUUCAUCUCAAGUACCAUCUCCAGCCGAUUGAGAGUACCUGCCUUGAUUCUGUUUUAUAAAAGGAUUCCGAAGCCAGCUCUCAGGGCAGUGUGAAAGAGCGUUAACGACUCAUCAGUGAUGUUUGCCAAGGGUGGGAGAAUGGGCUGUAACAGCACAAGGGCCACAUCUGGGUCAUAUUUGAGAUUAUGUUUUCCGUGAACUACUCUGUCUCUAUGCCUGCAUUUUAGUCUUGGCUACUUGCAGAUGUUGCAUGGCUGCCGCUGCCGCCCCAGUUGCUGCUGGUUGCUCCUUGGGUAGGACCAAAGUGAUCACUGAUCAGAAACUUCAUCCUCACAGUCUGGGGUUUGCUCCUGUGGCUGGUAUUCAGUUUCCCCUUUCAGCUUUACCUCAGCUAUCCCCUUACCUACUACACUGACAGGUAGGCCUCCCCUUUCUGUUCGCCACCCAGCGGGCUCACAUUUCUUUUCUUAUUUCCGAAUGAUUAAUUGUUCUUGUUCCGUGAGAAGCCUUCUUUCUGUUAGAAGAUGUGACAACUAGAAUACAAGUUAAACGAUUCCAUCAGGGUGCUGCAGUGAGUCGUAUAAGCUUCCCCUUUACCGUGGGAGAAAAUUGCAGACUUCGGGGCGGGAAGCACUGAGAAGGGAGGCAUUGUAGAUGUGGGAGAGAAAGACGAUAGCAGACGGAAUAAGAUCCUGGGAACCAAUGUAGGUUGGGAGGGUGAAACCUCUGGCUCUAAAAUGGGGGUGGAGGGAUAGCCUUGGUUGAAAGGAGUUACCUCCUCGCUGGAACACAGGCAUUCGGAGUUAGGAGGAGGAGCUGAGAAGGGAGUUGAAGAUUUGUAAUUGUCGAGGUGACUGAUGGGGAGAGGAAGCUGACCAGGGACAGGAUUACGGAGACGAACCAGAGUCUGCGGAAUAUUCGGGCCAAGAGGCUGGAGUGGGGCCUUUUGGCAUGUUAAAGUGAGGUACUAUUAUAUUAAAUGAUACGUGAGAUGUGAUAUUACUCCGUUAAAGCGAGAAACUAGCUUGAAACUCCAUUAGAAACUCAAGAAAUUGUAAAGUGGUCUUAGGCCACUGUCACAAGUAAAUUUGAUUGCCUGGGCCUGACCUUUAUUGAUUGAGAAGUGGACAGCUAGCAAGAGAAGGGUUAUGCAGAAAUGACUUUGAAAAUCCAGACUCUCUGUGGAAGGCAGUGUAGGUCCAAAGUGAGCUCCAAGUCUGUGACUAAAAAGAGGACUGGGCGUGAUCAAGAUGGGUGUUGAGUAGUUGGAAACUUGGAAUAAUAGGACCUGUGAUCAGAGAGUGGAUUUUGAAACCUUGAGACUUCAAACCCGGAGUGGGCAAGAUACUUGUGAAGCUGGGAUGUCAGAUGGUCUGUUACCUACAUACUGAAGUGACCCAGGAUUAUAGCAAAAGCUGGUCUGGGAACGAGCACUGUGGGCCAACUAGAAUAUGCUUCAGUGCCUGAGGAAUGGUUAGAGGUUGGCUCAUGGCGGCUGUGCAGAUGGAAAAGAGGAAAGGAUGUAGUGGAUUGUUGGUAGGAGCCACAGAAGAGUGGCAGGGAGUCUUCGAAGUUACAGAAACUAUGAUUUGCACAUUGCACUGCAGUGUUGGCUUGCAGAACGCCUAGCAAAAACGAUCCCCUCGUUUACUGAGCGCCUGCUCUAUCCCCGGCACCUUGCUCUGUGCGCUCCCAUUUACGCCGUCUGGGUCUGUCACAUACCGGGUGUGAGAGAAUGAGCAGCAGUCCCAAGCAAGGACAGCUAGAGGAGCUGCUGGCUCUCAGAACUGAGGGGAUGCCGUGGCCAUCUCAGCACAGACCUGGGCAGCUUGAAGUGGCAUAAAAAGGUUUCCUUAGAUCAAAAUUUUCCCUUGACGUUGACCUAACUCUGUUACAUGGUACGAGCUUGUGUUGGCUGUUCCAUAAUGUACUCUGGCUUCUGAGCCUCUGGGUUGAGGAGCAUGGGCUGGUACUGUCCUUUAAAAAAAAACAAAACAAGAGAACAGGCACAGCACUUUAAAAAACUCACAUAUUGAUUGACUAGAACAAGACAGUCCAGUUACCUAAUUGAGCUUUUAAGAUAAAGGAUAGACAAAAGAAAGCUCGCAUCAAUGGGUGGUGAAUAACGAGACCACUUUGCGAAAUCCACUCUGAGGUCAGGAUGCAUCCAGUUUAGUGGACCUAUUGUAGAUACCCGCUGUGCUGUUGGGAAGGACUGGAAAUUGAUGCAGAGAGAUGUCCCUUGGGACCCGGAAGGUCAAGUUUAGGAGAAGAGAGUGUGAACCCUGCGACAUUGCAUGUAGUCAUUUUUCUUCGGUUAUAGUCUUCACAUGAGUCAGUAUUUCACUGAAGGUUUAAAGCCACUGUGAUAGAGUGACCAGGCCCUCAGACAGCCCAUCCCCUCCUGUGGGGGCUGCUUUAUAUUUAUUCCUCAGGAGAACCUGGUAGAAGACUUCAUGUGAGGGAGAAGAAAAGGCAAGAAGUGGAGAGUGACUACAGCCUGUCUUCAUCUCAGCUUCACAAGGCAUGACUCAGCAGAGGGAGGGAUCAUCCUCUGGAGACUCUCCAGACCACAGGCCAUCUGUAACAGUCAUCAUCUGGGAGGAGCCUUGUGAAUGAAGCCUCAGUGAGUGAGUGGAGUGACACCCAUGUUUUUCUCUGAAUAUAAGGAGAGGGAAGGAGGCCAUGAAAUCCCAUAAUGGAGUAACAAAAAUUUGACAUUUUAGUAGAUACUGGACCUAGAAGCCUACAUGAAGGAAGUAAACAAACCUGAGAGAUCUUGGAUGUGUGUUGAGUGAAGAUAAGAGUGAAUUCCUAUUGCCCUUAGUAAUGGAGGAAGAGAGGGGAGAAAAGUGAGGGUCCUUUAUGUCACUGGAGGAGGCCCUGAGACUUGCUUCUUAAACCAGUGACUUUUAAGUUGCAUUGCACUACUUCCGUUGCUGUUUGUGUGAGAGUCACUGUUCCAAGCCCUCUUCUCAGGUACAGCUGCCUUUGUAGAGAUUUCUCUUGACCCCUAUUGAGAAACAACCCAGAACAAGGUUUGCAGCUUAGAACUCUCUGGAUCAGUGACAGAGGGGUCGAGGACAGAGGAGGUAGCACAAGUAGUACCAAAUAGCUCAGCUUUUUUUAUAUAGGAUGGAUGGGGUAGAGGCGGAGAGCACAGUGGUUCCAGGCAACUCCAAACACCUGGUAAGGUGUAAGGAAACAGUACACUGAAAGGUCAACCCUUAGACCUAUUAUUUGUCAAUCCCCAGAGCAUGAUAGAAUAUCUAAAGGUUAUAAAGAUUCUUUCCUAGAAGAGAUUUAGAAGAGGGGAACUUCCAAUUAUGUAAUACGGGCAUUGCAACUUUUAAAAACAUCUGUUCCCUACAUAGGUCAUGGAGAUUGAUACUCGUAUCAACCUGUGGCUGACUAGGCCAGUAUUAACUUCAGGGUUUCAUGCUCUUGGAGGGAUCCUGCUACUCUCUUGCUUUGACAGGUGUUCAUCUGCAGUAUGAGUCCAGUACUUGAAGGAACAAGAGGACAACAGGCAUCCAGGGGACAUCAGUGUAGUCUUCGAAGUGAAGAUGGAAACAGAAAAGAUCAUGGAAUUGGCUGGAUUGGGCUGGGCUUGUUUGUUGUUUCGGAAUUUUAAAAAUACUUUUUUACUUGAUGAUAAAAGUAACAGAUGAUCACUGUUGAAAAAUCAAAGGUAUAAAUUAAAAAGUAAAGAACACCUAUAAUCUUAUAACCCAGAAAACAACUCAACAUCUGAGUUUGUUUCCUUUUGCCCCUUUAAAAAAGAAUGUAACAUAGUUUUUUCAAGUUUUCAUUUUAAUUCCAGUUAGUAAACAUACAAUGUCUGUUCAUUUCAGGUGUACAAUUUAAAAACAAAAUUGACAUCAUAUUGUAUAUGUUGUUCUCCAUCUUUUUUCAUUUGAAAAUAAUGUAUUUGCAUGUAAUUAGCGUUCUUUGAAAACAGUAUUGUUACAUAAUAUUUCAUAUGGAUCUAACAAAAUUUAGGUAGAUGAUUGCAUGCUGCUGGACAUUUUGCAUAUUACCAAUUUUGCCUAUAAAAUGUAAUAAACUUCAUUGUACAUUAA